AGCAGCCAAUUAGCGUGAUGGUUUAUUCUUACACAGAAGACUUUCAACAUUACACCAAUGAAAUAUAUAAUGGUCCCAAUUGUCCGAAGGAUUCAAAAGAUGCGGACCACUUCAUGUUGAUAGUGGGUUACGAUUCAGUAGACAGUGAAGAUUAUUGGAUCGUGAAGAAUACAUGGGGCACAAGUUGGGGAAGAAAUGGUUAUAUGUUUGUAAAAAGGAACACUGGUAAAAAGUAUGGAGUGUGUGGAAUCAACCAAUGGGCUUUUUACCCAAACAAAAAAAAGUGAUGAAGAAUAAAAUUCGAAAUAAGAGUCCGAAUAUGUUUCAUUACAUGGAUAAUGAAUAAAAAUAUAUGUUGUUAUUAACAUGUUAGUUCCUCUGAAUUUUGAAGUUGUUGAGAAUAAAUAAAUCAAUCAAUAGAAA